GAUGAAGAACGUAGCGAAAUGCGAUAAGUAGUGUGAAUUGCAGAAUUCAGUGAAUCAUCGAAUCUUUGAACGCACAUUGCGCCCUUUGGUAUUCCAAAGGGCAUGCCUGUUCGAGCGUCAUUUGUACCCUCAAGCUUUGCUUGGUGUUGGGCGUCUUGUCUCCAGUCCGCUGGAGACUCGCCUUAAAGUCAUUGGCAGCCGGCCUACUGGUUUCGGAGCGCAGCACAAGUCGCACUCUUUUCCAGCCAAGGUCAGUGUCCAACAAGCCUUUUUUCAACUUUUGACCUCGGAUCAGGUAGGGAUACCCGCUGAACUUAAGCAUAUCAAUAGCGGAGGA
rnacentral:misc_RNA from 1 species